rnacentral:rRNA from 1 species
CCUACGGGGGGCAGCAGUGGGGAAUAUUGGACAAUGGGGGGAACCCUGAUCCAGCCAUGCCGCGUGUGUGAAGAAGGCCCUCGGGUUGUAAAGCACUUUCAGUGGGGAAGAACGCCUGUUGGUUAAUACCGUUCAGGAAAGACAUCACUCACAGAAGAAGCACCGGCUAACUCCGUGCCAGCAGCCGCGGUAAUACGGAGGGUGCGAGCGUUAAUCGGAAUUACUGGGCGUAAAGCGCGCGUAGGUGGCUUGAUAAGCCGGUUGUGAAAGCCCCGGGCUCAACCUGGGAACGGCAUCCGGAACUGUCAGGCUAGAGUGCAGGAGAGGAAGGUAGAAUUCCAGGUGUAGCGGUGAAAUGCGUAGAGAUCGGGAGGAAUACCAGUGGCGAAGGCGGCCUUCUGGACUGACACUGACACUGAGGUGCGAAAGCGUGGGUAGCAAACAGGAUUAGAUACCCGGGUAGUC